UUGUUGAUCAGUAACUAUUAACCGUCCAGAGCACUUGUUGAGCAGCAACUGUUAACCGUCAAGAGCACUUGUUGAGCAGUAUCUAUUAACCGUCCAGGUCUCUUGUUGAGCAGUAACUAUUAACCGCCCAGGUCACUCGUUGAUCAAUAAAUAUUAACCGUCCAGAGCACUUGUUGAGCAGUAACUAUUAACCGUCCAGAGCACUUGUUGAGCAGUAACUGUUAACCGUCCAGGUCACUUGUUGAGCAAUAACUGUUAACUGUCCAGGUCACUUGUUGAGCAGUAACUGUUAACCAUCCAGAGCACUUGUUAAGCAGUAACUAUUAACCGUCCAGGUCACUUGUUGAGCAGUAACUGUUAACCAUCCAGAGCACUUGUUAAGCAGUAACUAUUAAC